GAAGACCUGGCUUUUGUUGGGUUGGAUGAGUGGCGAACGGGUGAGUAACACGUGAGUAACCUGCCCCCUUCUUUGGGAUAACGCCCGGAGACGGGUGCUAAUACUGGAUAUUCACUGGCCUUCGCAUGGGGGUUGGUGGAAAGGGUUUGUUCUGGUGGGGGAUGGGCUCGCGGCCUAUCAGCUUGUUGGUGGGGUGAUGGCCUACCAAGGCUUUGACGGGUAGCCGGCCUGAGAGGGUGACCGGUCACAUUGGGACUGAGAUACGGCCCAGACUCCUACGGGAGGCAGCAGUUGGGAAUAUUGCACAGUGGGGGAAACCUGAGGCAGCGAGGCCGCGUGAGGGAUGGAGGCCUUCGGGUUGUAAACCUCUUUCGCUCAUGGUCAAGCCGCAACUGUGGGGUGUGGUGAGGGUAGUGGGUGAAGAAGCGCCGGCUAACUACGUGCCAGCACCCGCGGUAAUACGUAGGGCGCGAGCGUUGUCCGGAAUUAUUGGGCGUAAAGGGCUUGUAGGCGGUUGGUCGCGUCUCCCGUGAAAUCCUCUGGCUUAACUGGGGGCGUGCGGUGGGUACGGGCUGACUUGAGUGCGGUAGGGGAGACUGGAACUCCUGGUGUAGCGGUGGAAUGCGCAGAUAUCAGGAAGAACACCGGUGGCGAAGGCGGGUCUCUGGGCCGUUACUGACGCUGAGGAGCGAAAGCGUGGGGAGCGAACCAGGAUUAGAUACCGGUGGUAGUCCACGCUGUAAACGUUGGGCACUAGGUGUGGGGGCCACCCGUGGUUUCUGCG
rnacentral:rRNA from 1 species